rnacentral:rRNA from 1 species
UAUCUCUGUAGAGUCUGCAUAUCAAUAAGCGGAGGAAAAGAAACUAACAAGGAUUCCCCUAGUAACGGCGAGUGAAGCGGGAAGAGCUCAAAUUUGAAAUCUUAAAGGGUUUCCCUUUACGAAUUGUAGUUUAAAGAAGUGUUUUCUGUUGAGGUUUUGGUAAAGGUUCUUUGGAAUAGGACAUCAUAGAGGGUGAGAAUCCCGUAUUUGACCUUUACUUUCAACUUUGUGAUACACUUUCAAAGAGUCGGAUUGUUUGGGAAUGCAGUCCAAAAUGGGUGGUAAAUUUCAUCUAAAGCUAAAUAUUGGCGAGAGACCGAUAGCGAACAAGUACCGUGAGGGAAAGAUGAAAAGAACUUUGAAAAGAGAGUUAAACAGUACGUGAAAUUGUCAAAAGGGAAGCGUUUGACACCAGUGUUGUUUUUCUGAAAAUCAAUUAAAGAACUGUUUAUGCUAAGUUGUUUAGACUUUAUCAGCUAACUGUUUAGUUUUGAGCUUUUCUUUAAUGCACUUUUCAGUUAACAAGUCAACAUCAAUUUCUUUUGCUGUAAAAAAGCUUGAGGAAGGUGGCUUGAGAUUCGUCUUAAGUGUUUAUAGCCUCUUGCCUAUGCAGUCGGAGAGAUUGAGGUCUGCAGCGUAGAUCCUUCGGGGCUAAAUGCAUUUGUGCUAAGUUAUAGCAUUUUAUAGACAACUUGUUGACUAUGAUUUGUCUUGUAGCUUACUCGCUUAUGUUAUUUUACCUACGCUUAGGAUGUUGACGAUCAGCUGAGCGCG